GUGCCAGCCGCCGCGGUAAUACCGGCAGCCCAAGUGAUGGCCGCUGUUAUUGGGCCUAAAGCGUCCGUAGCUGGCCGCACAAGUCCGUCGGGAAAUCCGCCCGCUCAACGGGCGGCCGUCCGGCGGAACCUGUGUGGCUUGGGACCGGGAGGCCUGAGGGGUACGAUCGGGGUAGGAGUGAAAUCCUGUAAUCCCGCACGGACCACCGAUGGCGAAAGCACUUCGAGAAAACGGAUCCGACAGUGAGGGACGAAAGCCGGGGUCUCCAACCGGAUUAGAGACCCUAGUGUCC
rnacentral:rRNA from 1 species